rnacentral:lncRNA from 1 species
AUUCUCUUGCUGGCUGUCCACCAGGGUCACUCUCAGCUCCUCGGGGCCAUACCUCUCCAUGGGCAGUCCAGAACAUCACUGUUUUCUUCAUCGAGGCCAGCAGGAGCAUCUCUUUCUUCUGCUUUUACAGGGCUCGUCUGAUUAGUGUAUGCAGGUUUUUCUAUUUCUAAGCUGAAUGUGAUCUCCUUCAAGGAGCAAGGAAAGGAAGCCUGGGUAGUAGAGAGUGAUGUCACACAAAGCCUGCACCCAGAUUGGGUAUCCCAAUGGGAGAAAAUGGAAAAAUUUAUAAACAAAGAUCCUGAGGACCCCAGCUUCCAAGAUGACUGGAAAUGUAAAGGCACAUUCAAGAGACAACAAAGAAAUAGGAAGGAAAUUCCAGUCAAGUCAUACUCACCCGUGAAGAAAUACCCACUUGGAGACAGCAAACAUCCCAUAACGUGCUUCAGAAAGUUCUAUCUGGAAACUGGCCCUGAGCUAACAUCCGUGCCCAUCUUCCUCUACUUUAUAUGUGGGACACCUACCACAGCAUGGCUAGCCAAGCGGUGCCAUGUCCAUACCCAGGAUACAAACCGGUGAACCCUGAGCUGCCAAAGCAGAACGUGCGCACUUAACCACUGCACCACCGGGCCGGCCCCCCGCCAUAAGGCUCUUUUAAUCAGAAAAUUCAUAUUGAAGAAUGGAACUUGGACCACACCAGGUAAUCAAAGGAUGUGACUUAGGCUGGGCUCUGUAUCACAGUAUCAGCGUGACCUCCAGAGGGGCUGGAGACUGAGGAGAGCCACAUGAGGAACCCAUCAUGUCGACGUGACGGAGCCCAAUAAAGAAUGACACCAGGGGUCGGGGGCUUCCCUGGCAGGCGAUACUCUGUGCAUACUGUCACACAUGGCUGGGGAGGUGUUUAUGCUGUCCAUGACUCCAACACGGGAAUGGAAGCUCUGCAUCUAGAACCCUCCUGGACUCUGCCCCAUGCUGGCUGAUUGUAAUGUACAUCUUUUCACUGUAAUAAACCAUAACCACAAAUAUAAAAGUUUUUUGUGUGUGUGUACGAGGAAGAUUGGCCCUGAGCUAACAUCUGUGCUAAUCUUCCUCUAUUUUGUAUGUGGGAUGCCGCCAUAGCGUGGCUUGAUGAGCAGUGCUAGGUCCGUGCCCAGAAUCCAAACCUGCAAACCCCAGGCCACCAAAGCAGAGAGCAUGAACUUAACUACUAUGCUACCCAGCUGGCCCCAGUAUAAAAGUUUUUAGUAAGUUCUGUGAGUCCUUCUAGUGAGUUAUUGAACCUGAGGGUGAUCUUUG